CCUGGACUUGGAUUGUGCCAAUGGCUGCGCUAUUUGUGUUUCUGAUGGCCCUGAUUAGCUUCCUGUUGUGGUUCCUGAUGAAGAAGAAAUUGAUAUGCACCAAAGCAAGGAGACCAACUUCUACAAUAGAAACAUCAUCUGCUCUAAGAGCAGACAUUGAACUCUCCACAAGACUACAAGAUCCACUUCCAAACACAACAGUCUGACAGUCUGACCAGAUUCAGGCGUCUGUCAGCCAACGAUAAUAAUCUUAUGACUGUAUGAUUCCAUUAUACGUAUCCAUCUGUGAUCGGUGUAUGAUCCUGGGAUGAGAAACUGGAUAUUUGUGGGGAAUGGUACAGAUUGGAAACAGCAGACUUAGCACAUUACUUGUGAACCUGACUGAAGAACUAAAUCUGGUGAUGGAGCAAGAAAUCAUAGCGAGGACAACAGACUCCCCCCAAGAGAGUUGAUGUGAUCCAAUGAGUAGUUCUUUCACUUGGUUGAUGAAACAUGGUGCUGUUGAGAAAGUGAACUCCUCACAUUCACUAGCUUCCAUUUCUUUCUCCACAGGAAAUCCUGAUACAAUUUAGGGCUGUUUCUCUUUUCUUUCAGGCCUCAGGAAAGUUAAAUCAAGCUGAGUGUUACUGCACAAAAAGGGUGACUAAUUAAACUGA